rnacentral:rRNA from 1 species
AGAGUUUGAUCCUGGCUCAGGAUGAACGCUGGCUGUGUGCCUAAUACAUGCAUGUUGAACGAAGCUAAAAGUGCUUGCACUUUAAGACUUAGUAGCGAAUGGGUGAGUAACACGUACUUAACCUACCCCCAAGUUUGGGAUAACGUUUGGAAACGAACGCUAAUACCGAAUACGUAUUUUUAUCGCAUGAUAGAAAUAUAAAAGGAGCUUCGGCUUCGCUAGGGGAUGGGAGUGCGCUACAUUAGUUAGUUGGUAGGGCAAUGGCCUACCAAGACUAUGAUGUAUAGCGGGGCCGAGAGGCUGAUCCGCCACACUGGGACUGAGAUACGGCCCAGACUCCUACGGGAGGCAGCAGUAGGGAAUUUUCCACAGUGAACGAAAGUUUGAUGGAGCGACACAGCGUGCAGGAUGAAGGUCUUCGGAUCGUAAACUGCUGUUAUAAGGGAAGAAAAACUUUAGUAGGUAAUGACUAGAACUUGACGGUACCUUAUCAGAAAGCGACGGCUAACUAUGUGCCAGCAGCCGCGGUAAU